rnacentral:lncRNA from 1 species
GUACUCACUCCUGGUUGUCCCCACAGGAGUGCUGAAGCAUGACUGCAACAGACUUGCAGUUGUGCAGGAGAUCCAUUCAGCCGCACAAAGAUGACCGGAAAAAUGGCUGGCGCAGGGGAGUCCCAGAUCUGUGCCAAAUGCGAAGCUGCCCUUGCCACUAAGGACUUCUAACAUUGCAACUAUCAAGAUGAUGAUGAACUCAUCAAUAGAUGGAGAGAGACUGCUGUAUUUUGAAGGACUCUGG